GUGCGUGUGGUGAAACUGGUAGACGCAAUAGAUUUAAGCUCUAUUAUCUUUUGGAUGUGUGGGUUCGAAUCCCACCACGUACA
rnacentral:tRNA from 1 species